rnacentral:rRNA from 1 species
GAUGAACGCUGGCGGCGUGCCUAAUACAUGUAAGUCGAGCGAACAGAUGAGGAGCUUGCUCCUCUGACGUUAGCGGCGGACGGGUGAGUAACACGUGGAUAACCUACCUAUAAGACUGGGAUAACUUCGGGAAACCGGAGCUAAUACCGGAUAAUAUAUUGAACCGCAUGGUUCAAUAGUGAAAGACGGUUUUGCUGUCACUUAUAGAUGGAUCCGCGCCGCAUUAGCUAGUUGGUAAGGUAACGGCUUACCAAGGCGACGAUGCGUAGCCGACCUGAGAGGGUGAUCGGCCACACUGGAACUGAGACACGGUCCAGACUCCUACGGGAGGCAGCAGUAGGGAAUCUUCCGCAAUGGGCGAAAGCCUGACGGAGCAACGCCGCGUGAGUGAUGAAGGUCUUCGGAUCGUAAAACUCUGUUAUUAGGGAAGAACAAAUGUGUAAGUAACUAUGCACGUCUUGACGGUACCUAAUCAGAAAGCCACGGCUAACUACGUG